rnacentral:rRNA from 1 species
AGUGAACGCUGGCGGUAGGCCUAACACAUGCAAGUCGAACGGCAGCACAGUAAGAGCUUGCUCUUACGGGUGGCGAGUGGCGGACGGGUGAGGAAUACAUCGGAAUCUACUUUUUCGUGGGGGAUAACGUAGGGAAACUUACGCUAAUACCGUAUACGACCUACGGGUGAAAGCAGGGGAUCUUCGGACCUUGCGCGAUUGAAUGAGCCGAUGUCGGAUUAGCUAGUUGGCGGGGUAAAGGCCCACCAAGGCGACGAUCCGUAGCUGGUCUGAGAGGAUGAUCAGCUACACUGGAACUGAGACACGGUCCAGACUCCUACGGGAGGCAGCAGUGGGGAAUAUUGGACAAUGGGCGCAAGCCUGAUCCAGCCAUACCGCGUGGGUGAAGAAGGCCUUCGGGUUGUAAAGCCCUUUUGUUGGGAAAGAAAAGCAGCAGGUUAAUACCCCGCUGUUCUGACGGUACCCAAAGAAUAAGCACCGGCUAACUUCGUG